AUUGUUGGUAUUGAAAAUAACUGAUACCGUGCUUCCAGAAGAUUUUUCUAACAGUGUUUGCAAGCUAUAAAAUAGUGCUUUCACUUAGAAAAGGCUAGACGUGGUGGUUCAUGCCUGUAAUCCCAGCACUUUGAGAGGCCGAGGCACCAUGCUGGGAGAUAAGGAUCCAACAUAAGACAAACAGUGCUGAUGCUUUUGGAAAGCUCAUAUUCAAGCUGGGGAGACAAACAACAUACAAGAGGGCUCUGAGAGAUUUCAUUUCUGUCCUGCUGAUGAAGUCUACGUUCAUUCAGGGCCUGCUGUGGAAGACCAGCCCCAAAGUUGCUGAACAGAAGACUUUUGAGAGUCAGCAGAAAUCUUCCACUUUGCAUGGUUCUCUUGAUGUGAAAUCAUCUAUAUAGCCCCAGAAUUGGAAAAG
rnacentral:lncRNA from 1 species